rnacentral:rRNA from 1 species
GAUGAACGCUAGCGGCAGGCCUAAUACAUGCAAGUCGAACGGUGUAGCAAUACACAGUGGCGCACGGGUGCGUAACACGUAUGUAACCUACCUUACAUUGGGGGAUAGCCUUUCGAAAGGGAGAUUAAUACCGCAUAAGACAGUAACUAGGCAUCUAGUAGCUGUUAAAGAUUUAUCGAUGUAAGCUGGGCAUGCGUCCAAUUAGUUAGUUGGCGAGGUAAUGGCUCACCAAGACGAUGAUUGGUAGGGGAACUGAGAGGUCAAUCCCCCACACUGGCGCUGAGAUACGGGCCAGACUCCUACGGGAGGCAGCAGUAGGGAAUAUUGGGCAAUGGGCGCAAGCCUGACCCAGCCAUGCCGCGUGCAGGAAGAAGGCGUUAUGCGUUGUAAACUGCUUUUAUACAGGAAGAAACGACCCUCGCGAGGGGCAUUGACGGUACUGUAUGAAUAAGCACCGGCUAACUCCGUGCCAGCAGCCGCCGUAAGAC